CGCCUUGCCAGCCCGCUACAGAACUCAAAGGAAUUGACGGGGCCCGCACAAGCGGUGGAGUAUGUGGUUUAAUUCGAUGCAACGCGAAGAACCUUACCUGGUCUUGACAUCCCGGAGACCCUUAGGAAACUAGGGGGUGCUUCCAUCUGGAAGAAUCUGGAGACAGGUGCUGCAUGGCUGUCGUCAGCUCGUGUCGUGAGAUGUUGGGUUAAGUCCCGCAACGAGCGCAACCCUUGCCUUUAGUUGCCAGCAGUUCGGCUGGGCACUCUAAAGGGACUGCCGGUGUUAAACCGGAGGAAGGUGGGGAUGACGUCAAGUCCUCAUGGCCUUUAUGACCAGGGCUACACACGUACUACAAUGGCCGAUACAAAGGGCAGCGACACUGCGAGGUGAAGCCAAUCCCGUAAAAUCGGUCUCAGUCCGGAUUGGAGUCUGCAACUCGACUCCAUGAAGUUGGAAUCGCUAGUAAUCGUGGAUCAGCAUGCCACGGUGAAUACGUUCCCGGGCCUU
rnacentral:rRNA from 1 species